GCCAGUAUGGCAUAGUGGUUUUACCAUUGGACUAUGACUCUGGAGACCAGGAUUCAAAUCCCAGCUCAGCCA